rnacentral:rRNA from 1 species
GUGCCAGCAGCCGCGGUAAUACGGAGGGUGCGAGCGUUGUUCGGAAUUAUUGGGCGUAAAGCGCACGUAGGCGGCUUUGUAAGUCUCACUGUGAAAGCCCGGGGCUCAACCCCGGGACUGCAGGGGAUACUGCGAGGCUUGAGUCAAGUAGAGGUUGGUAGAAUUCCGGGUGUAGCGGUGGAAUGCGUAGAGAUCCGGAGGAAUACCAGAGGCGAAGGCGGCCAACUGGACUUGUACUGACGCUGAGGUGCGAAAGCGUGGGGAGCGAACAGGAUUAGAUACCCUGGUAGUCC